rnacentral:rRNA from 1 species
UACAGAGGGGGCAAGCGUUGUUCGGAAUUACUGGGCGUAAAGGGCGCGUAGGCGGCCUUCUAAGUCGAACGUGAAAUCCCCGGGCUCAACCCGGGAACUGCGUCCGAUACUGGAAGGCUUGAAUCCGGGAGAGGGAUGCGGAAUUCCAGGUGUAGCGGUGAAAUGCGUAGAUAUCUGGAGGAACACCGGUGGCGAAGGCGGCAUCCUGGGCCGGUAUUGACGCUGAGGCGCGAAAGCCAGGGGAGCAAACGGG